UACGUAGGGGGCUAGCGUUGUCCGGAUUUAUUGGGCGUAAAGAGCGUGUAGGCGGCCCGGUAAGUCCGCUGUGAAAGUCCAGGGCUCAACCCUGGGAUGCCGGUGGAUACUGUCGGGCUCGAGUCCGGAAGAGGAGUGUGGAAUUCCUGGUGUAGCGGUGAAAUGCGCAGAUAUCAGGAAGAACACCCGUGGCGAAGGCGGCUCUCUGGGACGGUACUGACGCUGAGACGCGAAAGCGUGGGGAGCGAACAGG
rnacentral:rRNA from 1 species